CGCCUUUUGACAAUAAUAAAAGGUCCAGCCUGCCCAGUGAUAAAUUUAACGGCCGCGGUAUCCUAACCGUGCAAAGGUAGCAUAAUCACUUGUUCUUUAAAUAGGGACUUGUAUCAACGGCAUCACGAGGGUUGUACUGUCUCCUCUCUCCAAUCAGUGAAACUGAUCUCCCCAUGAAAAAGUGGGGAUAAACUUAUAAGACGAGAAGACCCCAUGGAGCUUUAAGGCCUACAGCAAUCUAGCAAAACACUUCUAUCUAGCUAUAAAGUUAUGCUUAAAGACUUUAGGUUGGGAAGACCACGGAGUACAAAAUAACCUCCGCAAUGAAAAGAAUAAAAUCCUUACCAAAGAGCCACAACUCAAAGAAUUAGAAAACUAACGUACAAUGACCCGAUAUCGAUCAAUGAACCAAGUUACCCUGGGGAUAACAGCGCAAUCCACUCCGAGAGUUCAUAUCGACGAGCGGGCUUACGACCUCGAUGUUGGAUCAGGGUAUCCUGGUGGUGCAGCCGCUACCAAAGGUUCGUUUGUUCAACGAUUAAAACCCU
rnacentral:rRNA from 1 species